CAGUCGCCGCGGUAAAACGUAGGGUGCGAGCGUUAAUCGGAAUUACUGGGCGUAAAGCGUGCGCAGGCGGUUGUGUAAGACAGGUGUGAAAUCCCCGGGCUUAACCUGGGAACUGCGCUUGUGACUGCACAGCUAGAGUAUGGCAGAGGGGGGUGGAACUCCACGUGUAGCAGUGAAAUGCGUAGAGAUGUGGAGGAACACCUGUGGCGAAAGCGGCUCACUGGACCAUUUCUGACGCUGAUGCACGAAAGCUAGGGGAGCGAACAGGAUUAGAUACCCCUGUAGUCCCUGUCUCUUAUAC
rnacentral:rRNA from 1 species